AUGGAAAACUGCAAUUGGAUUUUUCUCUUUUUUUUAUCCUUUUUUGGUGUCAAGACCUAUUUCCCUUGUUCUUGGCCACCCGGAUUUCCGUCUGGAUGUUCGUGCGAUCGGUCUGAAAUUCAACGCUUUGAACUCCAGAAGGAA
rnacentral:lncRNA from 1 species